GAAACCAACAGGGAUUGCCCUAGUAACGGCGAGUGAAGCGGCAACAGCUCAAAUUUGAAAUCUGGCCCUCGGGUCCGAAUUGUAAUUUGUAGAGGAUGAUUUUGGUGCGGUAUCUUCCGAGUUCCUUGGAACAGGACGCCUUAGAGGGUGAGAGCCCCGUACGGUUGAAUGCCUAGCCUUUGUAAAUCUCCUUCGACGAGUCGAGUAGUUUGGGAAUGCUGCUCUAAAUGGGAGGUAAAUUUCUUCUAAAGCUAAAUACUGGCCAGAGACCGAUAGCGCACAAGUAGAGUGAUCGAAAGAUGAAAAGCACUUUGAAAAGAGGGUUAAAUAGCACGUGAAAUUGUUGAAAGGGAAGGAUUUAUGACCAGACUUUUUCUAGGCGAAUCAUCCGGUGUUCUCACCGGUGCACUUCGUUUAGUUUAGGCCAGCAUCGAUUUUCGGGGCAGGAUAAAAGCUUUAGGAAUGUGGCUCCCUCGGGAGUGUUAUAGCCUAUUGUAUAAUACCGCCCUGGGGAUCGAGGUACGCGCUUCUGCAAGGAUGCUGGCGUAAUGGUUAUCAAUCACCCGUCUUGAAACACGGACCAAGGAGUCGAACAUUUGUGCAAGUGUUUGGGUGUUAAACCCUCACGCGUAAUGAAAGUGAACGGAGGUGAGAGCCCUUACGGGUGCAUCAUCGACCGAUCCUGAUGUCUUCGGAUGGAUUUGAGUAAGAGCAUAACUGUUCGGACCCGAAAGAUGGUGAACUAUGCGUGGAUAGGGUGAAGCCAGAGGAAACUCUGGUGGAGGCUCGCAGCGGUUCUGACGUGCAAAUCGAUCGUCAAAUCUGCGCAUGGGGGCGAAAGACUAAUCGAACC
rnacentral:rRNA from 1 species